GUGCCAGCCGCCGCGGUAAUACAGAGGGUGCGAGCGUUAAUCGGAUUUACUGGGCGUAAAGCGUGCGUAGGCGGCUUUUUAAGUCGGAUGUGAAAUCCCUGAGCUUAACUUAGGAAUUGCAUUCGAUACUGUGAAGCUAGAGUAUGGGAGAGGAUGGUAGAAUUCCAGGUGUAGCGGUGAAAUGCGUAGAGAUCUGGAGGAAUACCGAUGGCGAAGGCAGCCAUCUGGCCUAAUACUGACGCUGAGGUACGAAAGCAGGGGGAGCAAACAGGAUUAGAUACCCGGGUAGUCC
rnacentral:rRNA from 1 species